AUUGAACGCUGGCGGCAGGCCUAACACAUGCAAGUCGAGCGAGCGGCGGACGGGUGAGUAAUGUCUGGGAAACUGCCUGAUGGAGGGGGAUAACUACUGGAAACGGUAGCUAAUACCGCAUACCAUCAGAUGUGCCCAGAUGGGAUUAGCUAGUAGGUGGGGUAACGGCUCACCUAGGCGACGAUCCCUAGCUGGUCUGAGAGGAUGACCAGCCAAACUGGAAGUGAGACAGGGUCCAGACUCCUACGGGAGGCAGCAGGGGGGAAUAUUGCACAAGGGGCGCAAGCCUGAUGCAGACAUGCCGAGUGUGGGAAGAAGGCCUUAUGGUUGUAAAGCACUUUAAGCGAGGAGGCGUUACCCGCAGAAGAAGCACCGGCUAACUCCGGGCCAGCAGCCGCGUAAUUC
rnacentral:rRNA from 1 species